CCCGCUCCCGCUCCUAUUCCCCGUCCCGGUCCCGGUCCCAGCGGCCCCAGAGCGCUGCCGCAGGAAGGAGCGCAGGGACUCCGCGGGGACACUGAGGGGACAGGAGGGGACACGGCAGGGUGGCACUUUGGGGACAGGGACACUCUGGGGACAGGGACACUCUGGGGACAGGGACACUCCUGGUCCCAUUCCUAUUCCUGGUCCCGCUCCUAUUCCCGUUCCUGUUCCCGUUCCUGUUCCCGGUCCCGUUCCUAUUCCCAGUUCUGUUCCCGUUCCCAGGAGCGCAGGGACUCUGCGGGGACAGGGACAGGGAUGUCCUUGGGGCGGCACUUUGGGGACAGGGACACUCUGGGGACAGGGACAGGGGUGGCACUUUGGGGACAGGGACACUCCCGAUCCCGUUCCUGUUCCCGUUCCCGGGGGCACCAGGAGCGCAGGGACUCUGCGGGGACACUGAGGGGACAGCAGGGGACACGGCAGGGUGGCACUUUGGGGACAAGCCAGAGUCACCUUGAGCACAGCGGUGACCCAGAGGGGACAGGAACAGAGACCCUGCCCUGUGUCCCCAAGGUCCCCAAUGUCCCCAAUCCCCCCUGUGUCCCCAAUGUCCCCAGUGUCCCCAAUGUCCCCAAUCCCCCCAGUGUCCCCAGUGUCCCCAGUGUCCCCAGUGUCCCCAGUGUCCCCCCAGUGUCCCCAGUGUCCCCCCAGUGUCCCCAGUGUCCUCAGUGUCCCCAGUGUCACCUGUUCUCUUGUCAUAGUCACUCUCGGCCAUCUCGUACUUGGGCACUUGGCUCAGAUCCUCGAACUGCCCGGCGCGGGCACCGCUCCUGUCGGUCACCUGCCACAGGGACAGAGGGACAGAGGGACACACAGGUGAGACAGAGGGGACAGGUGUGACACACAGGGACAGGGACACAGGUGAGACAGGUGAGGCAGAGGGGACACAGGGGACACGGGACAGGUGUGACACACAGGGAUGGGGACACUCAGGGGACACAGGGGACACUCAGGGACACACAGGUGACACAGGUGACACACAGGUGACAAUGAGGUGACACAGGUGACGCACAGGUGACAUUAAUGUCACUCACGUGCAGGCGGCAGCUGUCGCUGACCGGGUACCAGUGACAUUAAUGACACAGGUGACGUUAAUGACACACAGGUGAUGUUAAUGACACACAGGUGACACACAGGUAACACAGGUGACACACAGGUGACACAGGUGACACAGGGGGGGGGGGGGGGGGGGGGGGGGGGGGGGGGGGGGGGGGGGGGGGGGGGGGGGGGGGGG
rnacentral:lncRNA from 12 species